rnacentral:rRNA from 1 species
AUUGAACGCUGGCGGCAGGCCUAACACAUGCAAGUCGAACGAGUGGCGGACGGGUGAGUAAUGUCUGGGAAACUGCCUGAUGGAGGGGGAUAACUACUGGAAACGGUAGCUAAUACCGCAUACCAUCGGAUGUGCCCAGAUGGGAUUAGCUAGUGGGUGGGGUAAAGGCUCACCUAGGCGACGAUCCCUAGCUGGUCUGAGAGGAUGACCAGCCACACUGGGACUGAGACACGGUCCAGACUCCUACGGGAGGCAGCAGUGGGGAAUAUUGCACAAUGGGCGAAAGCCUGAUGCAGCCAUGCCGCGUGUAUGAAGAAGGCCUUCGGGUUGUAAAGUACUUUCAGCAGAGAAGCGUUACCCGCAGAAUAAGCACCGGCUAACUCCGUGCCAGCAGCCGCGGUAAUAC